UGGACAAAGGACUCUAUCCUGUAUCC
rnacentral:piRNA from 1 species